UUCACAUAUCCCGAUUAGUCCCUCCCGAUCUUAUCGUAGUUUCCCUUCUCCACCUUCUGCUGCUUCCUCUCCUCUGACUCGCCGAGAACUGCUUCCUUGGCGUCCUCCACGACUUCCCUGGCGCUCUCGCCGACUGCUUCGGACUUCUCCCUGGCUUGCCGCAGGAACUCUUCGGCCGUCGACGUCGCCUUCUCCACCACUCUUUGCGGUUCAUCCUUCUUCUCCGCGCAGUACUGCAAACGGCGGAAGAGGGGGGGGGGACGUACAUGAUUAAACAAGUAUCAGGUAACCAGAUCAGAUGGAUCAACGGAUUCAAACUAAAAUCAUAUCUCAUGCAACUGAGAUGGGAGCAGAAUCCAGCAUCAAAUCCCAUCCCAAACAACUACUGUGCGCGGUACCCCUUCAUCAGAUCUUGCAAGAUGGAACCACGCAGCAGGCGGCGGAAACUUACCCUGCGACCGCGUGCGUAGUCGCCCAACGCAGGCAGCGCAGCGGACGUCGUCGACUUCAAGGUGGAGGAUCGGCAUCCACGGGCGAGAAGGCUGCUCAUCUUCCUUCCAAGGUUGAUCUCCUCGUUUCUCUGCUCAGAUACGUAUCGAUACGAUGCGCUCAACGCGUUAAAGAGGGGGAGGAGGAGAUCGAAAGAAUCCAAUGCUUGCUUACCCGAUGAACGAAGGUCUGCACUGCACGUGGAUACGAAGGAGAAGGGGAGAGGGUUCGGAAGUCAGCAAACGUGGCCGUGGAAUUUGCAUGGCACGUAAUGGCAGUGAAACUGAUGGCUUAUUUCCUUGAGAAAAAGGCAAACAUUUUAAUCUCCAUUAAGGCAUUGGACGUAAAAUUUACUGUUUUA